rfam:Phycomyces blakesleeanus NRRL 1555(-) unplaced genomic scaffold PHYBLscaffold_15, whole genome shotgun sequence.
ACCGGAUAGCUCAUCUAUCUGUAAGCCAACGGCGGUCAAUAAAGGGAUGAAUUCGCUCAUUGGUGGAAUUAACAGCGGCUGGGUUGCCUUGUCGAAGAUAGUGUCUUACAGAGAUUGAUGUCAGCAUUCGUGUUUCGGCGUAGGCUGAAAUGCGGAGGUUGCUAAGUACUGGGGUACUGCCCGAGGGUAGCAAUACAACAGGGAAAACUCAGAGCAUCAGAUCAGCUGUAAGAUGGCACAUCGGAGAGGAUUUACUUGGCACCUGCCAUCAUGUGCGGGAACUCCCCCUUUU